rnacentral:rRNA from 1 species
GACGAACGCUGGCGGCGUGCUUAACACAUGCAAGUCGAACGGAAAGGCCCUGCUCUUGUGGGGUGCUCGAGUGGCGAACGGGUGAGUAACACGUGAGUAACCUGCCCUUGACUUUGGGAUAACUUCAGGAAACUGGGGCUCAUACCGGAUAGGAGCUCCUGCUGCAUGGUGGGGGUUGGAAAGUUUCGGCGGUUGGGGAUGGACUCGCGGCUUAUCAGCUUGUUGGUGGGGUAGUGGCUUACCAAGGCUUUGACGGGUAGCCGGCCUGAGAGGGUGACCGGCCACAUUGGGACUGAGAUACGGCCCAGACUCCUACGGGAGGCAGCAGUGGGGAAUAUUGCACAGUGGGCGGAAGCCUGAUGCAGCAACGCCGCGUGCGGGAUGACGGCCUUCGGGUUGUAAACCGCUUUCGCCUGUGACGAAGCGUGAGUGACGGUAAUGGGUAAAGAAGCACCGGCUAACUACGUG